ACCCAAUAGAUACCCCGGUAGUCCACGCCCUAAACGAUGUCGACUGGUUGUUGGGGGUUUGACACUCUCAGUAAACGAAAGCUAAACGCGUGUAGUCGACCGCCUGGGGAGUACGGCCGCAAGGUUAAAACUCAAAGGAAUUGACGGGGACCCGCACAAGCGGUGGAUUAUGUGGAUUAAUUCGAUGCAACGCGAAAAACCUUACCUACCCUUGACAUGUCCUGAAUCCUGGAGAGAUCCGGGGGUGCCCGAAAGGGAACGGGAACACAGGUGCUGCAUGGCUGUCGUCAGCUCGUGUCGUGAGAUGUUGGGUUAAGUCCCGCAACGAGCGCAACCCUUGUCAUUAGUUGCUACCGCAAGGAGCACUCUAAUGAGACUGCCGGUGACAAACCGGAGGAAGGUGGGGAUGACGUCAAGUCCUCAUGGCCCUUAUGGGUAGGGCUUCACACGUAAUACAAUGGUCGGUACAGAGGGUUGCCAAGCCGCGAGGCGGAGCCAAUCCCAGAAAGCCGAUCGUAGUCCGGAUCGCAGUCUGCAACUCGACUGCGUGAAGUC
rnacentral:rRNA from 1 species